AUUGAACGCUGGCGGCAUGCCUUACACAUGCAAGUCGAACGGUAACGGGCCUUCGGGUGCCGACGAGUGGCGAACGGGUGAGUAAUGCAUCGGAACGUACCUUUCAGUGGGGGAUAACGUAGCGAAAGUUACGCUAAUACCGCAUAUUCUGUGAGCAGGAAAGCAGGGGAUCGCAAGACCUUGCGCUGAUUGAGCGGCCGAUGUCAGAUUAGCUAGUUGGUGAGGUAAAGGCUCACCAAGGCGACGAUCUGUAGCGGGUCC
rnacentral:rRNA from 1 species